rnacentral:rRNA from 1 species
UACGUAGGGGGCAAGCGUUGUCCGGAUUAUUGGGCGUAAAGCACGUGUGAGGCGGCCAGAUCAGGUACUGCUGUGAAAACUCGAGGCUCCAACCUCGAAGCUGGUCGGCGGAAACCAUCUCGGGAGCUAGAGUCCGGAAAGAGGAGGAGUGGAAGUUCCUGGAUGUAGCGGUGAAAUGCGACAGACUAUCGAAGGAAGAACACCUAGUGGCGAAGGCAGCUCGCUGGGACGGUACUGAACGCUGGAGGCGACGAAAGCGUCGGGGAGCAAACAGG